GGCGUGCCUAAUAAUGCAAGUAGAACGCUGAAGAGAGGAGCUUGCUCUUCUUGGAUGAGUUGCGAACGGGUGAGUAACGCGUAGGUAACCUGCCUUGUAGCGGGGGAUAACUAUUGGAAACGAUAGCUAAUACCGCAUAACAAUGGAUGACACAUGUCAUUUAUUUGAAAGGGGCAAUUGCUCCACUACAAGAUGGACCUGCGUUGUAUUAGCUAGUAGGUGAGGUAAUGGCUCACCUAGGCGACGAUACAUAGCCGACCUGAGAGGGUGAUCGGCCACACUGGGACUGAGACACGGCCCAGACUCCUACGGGAGGCAGCAGUAGGGAAUCUUCGGCAAUGGGGGCAACCCUGACCGAGCAACGCCGCGUGAGUGAAGAAGGUUUUCGGAUCGUAAAGCUCUGUUGUAAGUCAAGAACGGGUGUGAGAGUGGAAAGUUCACACUGUGACGGUAGCUUACCAGAAAGGGACGGCUAACUACGUGCCAGCAGCCGCGGUAAU
rnacentral:rRNA from 1 species